rnacentral:rRNA from 1 species
ACCCUGGAUCAGAUUCCCAUGGCCCAACUCAACGAGGGCCUAGUAAGCGCAAGUCAUCAGCUUGCGUUGAUUACGUCCCUGCCCUUUGUACACACCGCCCGUCGCUACUACCGAUUGAAUGGCUCAGUGAGGCCUUCGGACUGACCCAAGGAGGUCGGCAACGACCACCCCAGGCCGGAAAGUUCGUCAAACUUGGUCAUUUAGAGGAAGUAAAAGUCGUAACAAGGUUUCCGUAGGUGAACCUGCGGAAGGAUCAUUA